GGUUAAGCGACUAAGCGUACACGGUGGAUGCCCUGGCAGUCAGAGGCGAUGAAGGACGUGCUAAUCUGCGAAAAGCGUCGGUAAGGUGAUAUGAACCGUUACAGCCGGCGAUGUCCGAAUGGGGAAACCCAGUGCAAUUCGUUGCACUAUCGUUAACUGAAUACAUAGGUUAACGAGGCGAACCGGGGGAACUGAAACAUCUAAGUACCCCGAGGAAAAGAAAUCAACCGAGAUUCCCCCAGUAGCGGCGAGCGAACGGGGAGCAGCCCAGAGUCUGAAUCAGCUUGUGUGUUAGUGGAACGGUCUGGAAAGUCCGACGGUACAGGGUGAUAGUCCCGUACACCAAAAUGCACAGGCUGUGAACUCGAAGAGUAGGGCGGGACACGUGGUAUCCUGUCUGAAUAUGGGGGGACCAUCCUCCAAGGCUAAAUACUCCUGACUGACCGAUAGUGAACCAGUACCGUGAGGGAAAGGCGAAAAGAACCCCGGCGAGGGGAGUGAAAAAGAACCUGAAACCGUGUACGUACAAGCAGUGGGAGCACCUUCGGGUGUGACUGCGUACCUUUUGUAUAAUGGGUCAGCGACUUAUAUUCUGUAGCAAGGUUAACCGUAUAGGGGAGCCGCAGGGAAACCGAGUCUUAACUGGGCGUUAAGUUGCAGGGUAUAGACCCGAAACCCGGUGAUCUAGCCAUGGGCAGGUUGAAGGUUGGGUAACACUAACUGGAGGACCGAACCGACUAAUGUUGAAAAAUUAGCGGAUGACUUGUGGCUGGGGGUGAAAGGCCAAUCAAACCGGGAGAUAGCUGGUUCUCCCCGAAAGCUAUUUAGGUAGCGCCUCGUGAACUCAUCUUCGGGGGUAGAGCACUGUUUCGGCUAGGGGGUCAUCCCGACUUACCAACCCGAUGCAAACUACGAAUACCGAAGAAUGUUAUCACGGGAGACACACGGCGGGUGCUAACGUCCGUCGUGAAGAGGGAAACAACCCAGACCGCCAGCUAAGGUCCCAAAGUCAUGGUUAAGUGGGAAACGAUGUGGGAAGGCACAGACAGCCAGGAUGUUGGCUUAGAAGCAGCCAUCAUUUAAAGAAAGCGUAAUAGCUCACUGGUCGAGUCGGCCUGCGCGGAAGAUGUAACGGGGCUAAACCAUGCACCGAAGCUGCGGCAGCGACACGAUGUGUUGUUGGGUAGGGGAGCGUUCUGUAAGCCUGCGAAGGUGACCUGUGAGGGUUGCUGGAGGUAUCAGAAGUGCGAAUGCUGACAUAAGUAACGAUAAAGCGGGUGAAAAGCCCGCUCGCCGGAAGACCAAGGGUUCCUGUCCAACGUUAAUCGGGGCAGGGUGAGUCGACCCCUAAGGCGAGGCCGAAAGGCGUAGUCGAUGGGAAACAGGUUAAUAUUCCUGUACUUGGUGUUACUGCGAAGGGGGGACGGAGAAGGCUAUGUUAGCCGGGCGACGGUUGUCCCGGUUUAAGCAUGUAGGCUGGUUAUCCAGGCAAAUCCGGAUAAUCAAGGCUGAGGUGUGAUGACGAGGCACUACGGUGCUGAAGUAACAAAUGCCCUGCUUCCAGGAAAAGCCUCUAAGCAUCAGGUAACAUCAAAUCGUACCCCAAACCGACACAGGUGGUCAGGUAGAGAAUACCAAGGCGCUUGAGAGAACUCGGGUGAAGGAACUAGGCAAAAUGGUGCCGUAACUUCGGGAGAAGGCACGCUGGUGUGUAGGUGAAGUCCCUGCGGAUGGAGCUGAGACCAGUCGAAGAUACCAGCUGGCUGCAACUGUUUAUUAAAAACACAGCACUGUGCAAACACGAAAGUGGACGUAUACGGUGUGACGCCUGCCCGGUGCCGGAAGGUUAAUUGAUGGGGUUAUCCGUAAGGAGAAGCUCUUGAUCGAAGCCCCGGUAAACGGCGGCCGUAACUAUAACGGUCCUAAGGUAGCGAAAUUCCUUGUCGGGUAAGUUCCGACCUGCACGAAUGGCGUAAUGAUGGCCAGGCUGUCUCCACCCGAGACUCAGUGAAAUUGAACUCGCUGUGAAGAUGCAGUGUACCCGCGGCAAGACGGAAAGACCCCGUGAACCUUUACUAUAGCUUGACACUGAACAUUGAGCCUUGAUGUGUAGGAUAGGUGGGAGGCUUUGAAGCGUGGACGCCAGUCUGCGUGGAGCCAACCUUGAAAUACCACCCUUUAAUGUUUGAUGUUCUAACGUGGGCCCCUAAUCGGGGUUGCGGACAGUGUCUGGUGGGUAGUUUGACUGGGGCGGUCUCCUCCCAAAGCGUAACGGAGGAGCACGAAGGUUAGCUAAUCCUGGUCGGACAUCAGGAGGUUAGUGCAAUGGCAUAAGCUAGCUUGACUGCGAGCGUGACGGCGCGAGCAGGUGCGAAAGCAGGUCAUAGUGAUCCGGUGGUUCUGAAUGGAAGGGCCAUCGCUCAACGGAUAAAAGGUACUCCGGGGAUAACAGGCUGAUACCGCCCAAGAGUUCAUAUCGACGGCGGUGUUUGGCACCUCGAUGUCGGCUCAUCACAUCCUGGGGCUGAAGUAGGUCCCAAGGGUAUGGCUGUUCGCCAUUUAAAGUGGUACGCGAGCUGGGUUUAGAACGUCGUGAGACAGUUCGGUCCCUAUCUGCCGUGGGCGCUGGAGAAUUGAGGGGGGCUGCUCCUAGUACGAGAGGACCGGAGUGGACGCAUCACUGGUGUUCGGGUUGUCAUGCCAAUGGCACUGCCCGGUAGCUAAAUGCGGAAGAGAUAAGUGCUGAAAGCAUCUAAGCACGAAACUUGCCCCGAGAUGAGUUCUCCCUGAGACUUUAAGUCUCCUGAAGGAACGUUGAAGACGACGACGUUGAUAGGCCGGGUGUGUAAGCGCAGCGAUGCGUUGAGCUAACCGGUACUAAUGAACCGUGAGGCUUAACCUU
rnacentral:rRNA from 1 species